rnacentral:rRNA from 1 species
GGGGGAAUUUUGGACAAUGGGCGCAAGCCUGAUCCAGCCAUGCCGCGUGCGGGAAGAAGGCCCUCGGGUUGUAAACCGCUUUUGUCAGGGAAGAAACGAGUUUCUCUAAUACAGAGACUUAAUGACGGUACCUGAAGAAUAAGCACCGGCUAACUACGUGCCAGCGGCCUCGGUAAUACGUAGGGUGCAAGAGUUAAUCGGAAUUACUGGGCGUAAAGCGUGCGCAGGCGGUUAUGCAAGACAGAGGUGAAAUCCCCGCGCUCAACCUGGGAACUGCCUUUGUGACUGCAUAGCUAGAGUGCGGUAGUGCGGGUUGGAAUGUCGCGUGGAGCAGUGAAAUGCGUAGAUAAGCGGAGGAACCCCGAUGGCGAAGGCAAUCCCCUGGACAUGUUCUGACGGUCAUGCACGAAAGCGUGGGGAGCAAACA